UACGGAGGGUGCAAGCGUUGUUCGGAAUUAUUGGGCGUAAAGCGCACGUAGGUGGCUUCAGUAGUCUGGUGUGAAAUCCCUCGGCUUAACCGAGGAAGUGCGCCAGAAACCAUGGAGCUAGAGUAUCGGAGGGGAGAGUGGAAUUCCCAGUGUAGAGGUGAAAUUCGUAGAUAUUGGGAGGAACACCGGUGGCGAAAGCGACUCUCUGGACGAUUACUGACACUAAGGUGCGAAAGCGUGGGUAGCAAACAGG
rnacentral:rRNA from 1 species